UACAGAGAGUGCAAACGUUGUUCGGAAUUACUGGGCUUGAAGCGCACGUAGGCGGCGUUGUAAGUGUCGGGUGAAAUCCCACGGCUCACCCGUGGAACUGCCCGGCAUACUGCGAUGCUAGAGUGUGGUAGGGGAGAGCGGAACUCCUGGUGGAGCGGUGAAAUGCGUAGAUAUCAGGAGGAACACCGGUGGCGAAGGCGGAUCUCUGGGCCUGUCCUGACGCUCAGGCGCGAAAGCUAGGGGAGCAAACAGG
rnacentral:rRNA from 1 species